CCUACGGGAGGCUGCAGUGGGGAAUAUUGGACAAUGGGGGGAACCCUGAUCCAGCCAUGCCGCGUGUGUGAAGAAGGCCCUCGGGUUGUAAAGCACUUUCAGUGAGGAAGAACGCCUGGUGGUUAAUACCCAUCAGGAAAGACAUCACUCACAGAAGAAGCACCGGCUAACUCCGUGCCAGCAGCCGCGGUAAUACGGAGGGUGCGAGCGUUAAUCGGAAUUACUGGGCGUAAAGCGCGCGUAGGUGGCUUGAUAAGCCGGUUGUGAAAGCCCCGGGCUCAACCUGGGAACGGCAUCCGGAACUGUCAAGCUAGAGUGCAGGAGAGGAAGGUAGAAUUCCCGGUGUAGCGGUGAAAUGCGUAGAGAUCGGGAGGAAUACCAGUGGCGAAGGCGGCCUUCUGGACUGACACUGACACUGAGGUGCGAAAGCGUGCGUAGCAAACAGGAUUAGAUACCCUGGUAGUC
rnacentral:rRNA from 1 species